UACGGGGGGGGCAAGCGUUGUUCGGAAUUACUGGGCGUAAAGGGCGCGUAGGCGGUUCGGUAAGUCCUGUGUGAAAUCCCUCGGCUCAACUGAGGAACUGCACGGGAGACUGCCGGGGCUUGAGUUCGGGAGAGGGAAGCGGAAUUCCGGGUGUAGCGGUGGAAAUGCGUAGAUAUCCGGAGGAAACACCGGUGGCGAAGGCGGCUUCCUGGACCGACAUGACGCUGAGGCGCGAAAGCUAGGGGGAGCAAAACGGG
rnacentral:rRNA from 1 species